GAGGCAGGGCCUGCUGUGAGUGUGGAGAGGGGCGUGGGGCAUGCGCACACCCAUCCAUAUUUACAGGGGCUCCAGCAAGCAGGCUUUUCCUGGAGGUAGCUCUGUGACCGUGGGCAAGUUACACAUCUUCUGUAAGCCCCCAUUUCCCAACUCUUGGGUGAGAAUGUGAGAAGUACCAGCUGCGAAGCAUCAUUGUAAGAAUCAGAUCUGACGAUAUGGGUAAAGCCAGCACAUGGCUGGCACUCAAUAAAUCUUAGUCUUUAUUGGUUAUCAUCUUUUUUUAUUAGCUAUCAUUUUGCCAAGCUUCCCCAAACCCCUUGCAUGCAUCUGUUCCUUAUGCUUGUUGGAACAAUGCAAAGAUAGGAACUCUGAGCAUUACUGCUUUUUCCUCCAGCUACACUGUUUCUGUGAGUGGGACAUGGUCCACACUUCCCCUGAGGUUCUAGUCCACUGGAACCAUCAGGGUUAGUCCCUGCUUCCUGGCCCCUGGUUGUGGUAUUUGGUGCAAGGAUGCCCUGCAGCCUGCAUCAGGAGACAGGCCCGCUCUUUGCUCUGCGCCAAUACCCAUCUGUUGACUCUGGCUCUAGCAAAGCAGGACAUUCAGGGGGAGGUUGGGGAGGGAUUUCUGGUGGGUGCUCUGCUGCUAAGUGUGUGAGUGUUAGUGGGAACCACCCCUGGUUUGUCUGGAGCUAGACUUUCUUCUCUUUGAUCCAUCCUUUUCUUUCCUCCUUGCCAGCUGUUCUUAGCACCAUCGGGGUUUGGGUGUGUGCCAUGUAGCACCCAGCUCCUUGGCUAGGAGCAGGGCUUGUCUUCUUGAGAGCUGUCUGAAGUCCCAAGGGCUGUACGAGGGCCUUACAAGGAGCCCUUGGAUGACCACCAUGGCGUCACCCUGCCAUGCUCUCUGCAUGACUCCAGAGACCAGUUAUGUUAAAAGCUCUUCCUCUUGACUCCUCAAAAUAGGAGUAAUGUAUUCUAAUUCCAAGGACCUUCCCUUGCUAGGAGAUGCAGUGUAUCUUGCAGAUUUGUUCUUCUGGUUAGACAAGGUAGAUGAGGAGAAAACAGGCAUCUCUUGGGCGCCGGCAAGGUUCAGGAGGACUCUGUGUGGCCUUCUUGCAGGACUCAGUGGUCUCCUUGUCCAUCUGUUAAUCUUCCUGUCCCGAGCUGGCUUGAGCCUCUUCCCAGUGGAGGCUCUAGCCAUAAUGAGAGUCUCUCCCGGAGUCAUUCAUAUGUGUCACAGGGAACUGCAAGGUCUGCGUGUGCAGGAGGAGGUUAUGGCAGGCUAGCUAGGAGCAGCCUGUGGCUGUGGGGACAGGCAGGGCCCUUACUGGAGCUGCAUUUAGCAUACUGUUGUCUUUUACCCCAUGGCCUGGCAAUUAUGGCCCUGGCCAGAGGCUGUAGGGUCCUUGGCUGAAGCUUUGGGAUGCAUGGCUGCCCUCAUGGUGAUGGCAGGAAGACCAUGGUCAUCUUAAAGAAUGUGAGAGGCAACCAGGCCUCUGAGGAUGAGCCAAAUUAUUUAAGUUCAGUGGUUGAGACUCAGUUCAGGACAGUUUUGAGAGGCUGAAGACUUAUGUUAUUUUCGGGGAAUAUUGACCUCCGAGAUAGUGAGUCCAGGGCAGAAGUUAAACUCUCCCAGAGUAAGCAAGCCUUGUGGUUUCUUUCGUCUUUAUGAACAAAAAAUUUUGUCUUGAAAAUAAAAAUAAAAUACAUUAAUUUUUAAAAUAAACUUUGCAAAGACUGACUUUUAGUCCCUAUAUGAGCCUGUCUUCUUCCUCUUGGUGAGGAUGCGGUACAGAUGAUCUGGUCUGUGCCUGAGGCUCCGUUUGGUUGUGAGCUGUCAAGGUGGGGGACAUCUGCGGGGAAUAGGUAUUUUUUAGUGAUGGAGACGGAGUCACAGAUUUUUUUUUUUUUUAAAUCACAGGGAAUUAUAACCCAACAUUGAAGAACCUGGGCUCUGAAUUCUCCCUGGUAGGUAUUUUAGAAUUAAAUGAGCUCUUGUUUGCAAAAAUUUGCUCCACACAUUGCCUAGCCCUCAAAAAGUAUUAGCUAUCAUGGUUGCUUGAUGUCCUGACUCCUGAUGGACAUCCUAUGUGGGCUUCUGCUACUUAGAAAAA
rnacentral:lncRNA from 1 species